rnacentral:lncRNA from 1 species
GUAUCCGUCAACACUUCAGCCAAAUACUCUGCGUCUUUUUUCCUUCCGGCCUUGUUUGGUACUAGAGUAUUUAAAAAAAUUUAUGGGGAUUAUUCUGAUCAAACCUCUCAAUUCCCACAUAUCACAUAACACCAUUUGGUUUUAGUAUAUUUAACAUGUUUCAUCCCCACAUUUUCUCACAAAUCCCAAAUUAUAGUGCAUUUUUCUCAAUACCCAAUACACUACCCCUAUCUAAUAGAUUGUGGAUAAACGAAAAUUUAAAGGGAUUGAGUGAAGGUUGGGAUUUUACUCAAUCCUUUCGGGGUUAUCUCCACCAAUCUUUUCAAAAACAGUACUACCAAACAAGCCUCCAGGGGAAGCAAGCACAUUAGGCGUGCGUUCUCCACCUACGCCUAAACUUUUCCUUCCAGACGGGAAGUUAGUGAGUCACCUUCGUAAGGAAGCAGCCUGCGGUACCGAUAAGCAAGCCGUACAUACAUGCUAGACCAGUCUUCGACUAGCAUGCGUGACUGGGUGAAGCUCACCUACACCUUGACCGCAGCCAAUCAAGAAUCAGUGGCGGAAUUCUGCCCGGCAAGUGGUGGUGGUGGACAAUGAUAGCAAGGGAAGCGGCGCCAUCGCCGCACGGUACACAGCGGAGGACGAAACUUGUCACCUGUUUCCUGCUCCUUUCAUCUCCGUCUUCUCUGCUUUCGCACGGAUUAGCUUUCAAACACGAGGGGCUUCUAGAAGAGCUGAG